AGGCUCAUGGUGUAACGGCUAUCAUGUUGGAUUCUGGUUCCAUCGAUCUCGGUUCGAAUCCGGGUGAGCCUG
rnacentral:tRNA from 1 species